UGCAAGUCGAGCGGUAGCACAGAGAGCUUGCUCUCGGGUGACGAGCGGCGGACGGGUGAGUAAUGUCUGGGAAACUGCCUGAUGGAGGGGGAUAACUACUGGAAACGGUAGCUAAUACCGCAUAAUGUCGCAAGACCAAAGUGGGGGACCUUCGGGCCUCAUGCCAUCAGAUGUGCCCAGAUGGGAUUAGCUAGUAGGUGGGGUAACGGCUCACCUAGGCGACGAUCCCUAGCUGGUCUGAGAGGAUGACCAGCCACACUGGAACUGAGACACGGUCCAGACUCCUACGGGAGGCAGCAGUGGGGAAUAUUGCACAAUGGGCGCAAGCCUGAUGCAGCCAUGCCGCGUGUGUGAAGAAGGCCUUCGGGUUGUAAAGCACUUUCAGCGGGGAGGAAGGCGAUAAGGUUAAUAACCUUGUCGAUUGACGUUACCCGCAGAAGAAGCACCGGCUAACUCCGUGCCAGCAGCCGCGGUAAUACGGAGGGUGCAAGCGUUAAUCGGAAUUACUGGGCGUAAAGCGCACGCAGGCGGUCUGUCAAGUCGGAUGUGAAAUCCCCGGGCUCAACCUGGGAACUGCAUUCGAAACUGGCAGGCUAGAGUCUUGUAGAGGGGGGUAGAAUUCCAGGUGUAGCGGUGAAAUGCGUAGAGAUCUGGAGGAAUACCGGUGGCGAAGGCGGCCCCCUGGACAAAGACUGACGCUCAGGUGCGAAAGCGUGGGGAGCAAACAGGAUUAGAUACCCUGGUAGUCCACGCCGUAAACGAUGUCGAUUUGGAGGUUGUGCCCUUGAGGCGUGGCUUCCGGAGCUAACGCGUUAAAUCGACCGCCUGGGGAGUACGGCCGCAAGGUUAAAACUCAAAUGAAUUGACGGGGGCCCGCACAAGCGGUGGAGCAUGUGGUUUAAUUCGAUGCAACGCGAAGAACCUUACCUGGUCUUGACAUCCACAGAACUUUCCAGAGAUGGAUUGGUGCCUUCGGGAACUGUGAGACAGGUGCUGCAUGGCUGUCGUCAGCUCGUGUUGUGAAAUGUUGGGUUAAGUCCCGCAACGAGCGCAACCCUUAUCCUUUGUUGCCAGCGGUUAGGCCGGGAACUCAAAGGAGACUGCCAGUGAUAAACUGGAGGAAGGUGGGGAUGACGUCAAGUCAUCAUGGCCCUUACGACCAGGGCUACACACGUGCUACAAUGGCAUAUACAAAGAGAAGCGACCUCGCGAGAGCAAGCGGACCUCAUAAAGUAUGUCGUAGUCCGGAUUGGAGUCUGCAACUCGACUCCAUGAAGUCGGAAUCGCUAGUAAUCGUAGAUCAGAA
rnacentral:rRNA from 1 species